UACGAAGGGGGCUAGCGUUGUUCGGAAUGACUGGGCGUAAAGGGUGCGUAGGCGGUUUAAUAAGUUUGGUGUGAAAGUCCUGGGCUCAACCUGGGGAUUGCACUGGAAACUAUUAGACUAGAGAUCGAGAGAGGAAAAUGGAAUUGCGAGUGUAGAGGUGAAAUUCGUAGAUAUUCGCAAGAACACCGGUGGCGAAGGCGGUUUUCUGGCUCGAUACUGACGCUAAGGCACGAAAGCGUGGGGAGCAAACAGG
rnacentral:rRNA from 1 species